AGGGGGUAGUGGCCGGCUGGUCCAAAGGAAGAAGAAGGGAGCUCGGCUGGUUUUUGUCCAAGAACAGGGGAGCUCUGUUUCUUUUGGAGAAGAAAGAAAAAAAAAUUAGUUUAUGUUGUUGUUCCACCGUGGGAGAGAAAAUGAAAUUUUCUUUUUGAUUUUAUUUUUAUUUGCAGAAGAAAGAAGCAUUAGGCUUCAUCUUCAAAUUUUUUUUACUUUUUGUAAUCAUUCCUUUUUAUGAAAUCAAUCAAUUUCUUUCAUGCAAUCCUUAUU
rnacentral:lncRNA from 1 species